rnacentral:rRNA from 1 species
AUUGAACGCUAGCGGGAUGCUUUACACAUGCAAGUCGAACGAAUGGCGGCCGGGUGAGUAAUAUAUCGGAACGUGCCCAGUAGCGGGGGAUAACUACUCGAAAGAGUGGAUAAUAACGCAUCGUAUUGGAUCGGCCGAUCGCGGAUUAGCUAGUUGGUGGGGUAAGAGCUCACCAAGGCAAAGAUCCGUAGCUGGUUUGAGAUGACGACCAGCCACACUGGGACUGAGACACGGCCCAGACUCCUACGGGAGGCAGCAGUUGGGAAUGUUGGACAAUGGGGGAAACCCUGAUCCAGCCAGCCCGCGUGUAUGAUAAGGCCUUCGGGUUGUAAAGUACUUUUGGCAGAGAAGCGGUAUCUGCAGAAUAAGCACCGGCUAACUACGUGCCAGCAGCCGCGGUAAUUC